rnacentral:rRNA from 1 species
GAUCACGUGAGAAACGUGCCCCAGACUCUGGGAUAACAAUUGGAAACGAUUGCUAAUACCGGAUGACGUCGGAGAACCGCAUGGUUCACUGACGAAAGAUAUUUCGGUUUGGGAGCGUCUCGCGGCCUAUCAGCUUGUUGGUGGGGUAAUGGCCUACCAAGGCAACGACGGGUAGCUGGUCUGAGAGGAUGAUCAGCCACACUGGGACUGAGACACGGCCCAGACUCCUACGGGAGGCAGCAGUGGGGAAUCUUGCGCAAUGGGCGAAAGCCUGACGCAGCAACGCCGCGUGCGGGAUGAAGGCCUUCGGGCUGUAAACCGCUUUCAGCAGGAACGAAAAUGACGGUACCUGCAGAAGAAGGAGCGGCCAACUACGUGCCAGCAGCCGCGGUGACACGUAGGCUCCAAGCGUUGUCCGGAUUUAUUGGGCGUAAAGAGCUCGUAGGCGGUUGAGUAAGUCGGGUGUGAAAACUCUGGGCUUAACCCGGAGACGCCAUCCGAUACUGCUCUGACUAGAGUUCAGGAGGGGAGUGGGGAAUUCCUAGUGUAGCGGUGAAAUGCGCAGAUAUUAGGAGGAACACCGGUGGCGAAGGCGCCACUCUGGACUGAAACUGACGCUGAGGAGCGAAAGCAUGGGUAGCAAACAGGAUUAGAUACCCUGGUAGUCCAUGCCGUAAACG